UACGGAGGGUGCAAGCAUUAAUCGGAUUUAUUGGGCGUAAAGGGCGCGUAGGCGGAAGUGCAAGUUAAGUGUGAAAUUCCGAAGCUCAACUUCGGAGCAGCACUUAAAACUGCUCAUCUUGAGGAUUGACGGAGAAAAUGGAAUUCCACGUGUAGCGGUGAAAUGCGUAGAUAUGUGGAAGAACACCAGUGGCGAAAGCGAUUUUCUAGUUUAUACCUGACGCUGAGGCGCGAGAGCAAGGGGAGCAAACAGG
rnacentral:rRNA from 1 species